CAGAUGUUACCUGCAUCGUCUAGAAUCAAAAUGGGAAAACUAUUAGUUGUUCUGACUCUCCUCGUCUGUCUGGUUGCCCUGUCAUCCGGUAUUCCCAGUGGUGGGUGUCAUUAUGGACUUAAAACAUGUCAUAACUCAAAACCUUGUUGCGAUGGAUAUGAGUGUGAUUACAAAUACGGCCAUUGGGGUUGCUGCGAGAGGAUGUAUAAUGGUGGUACUGGUUAAUACUGAAGCAGCGGCGUCAGAUCAUCGGAAAAUGACAAUGCAACAAACAGCUUUUCUUGAUUUAACGUUAAAUUUGUGAUUUGAGUCAUUUUCCUGCCUAAAAAUAAAGUCUUGUCUACAACUUC